CAGGGAUGUCAUAUUUAGUGUACUAUUUUGCCUUUUCUGUAGGAUUGAGUGUGUCCGUUGCAUUUAGUUAAGGCAAGUAUUUGGAAGAAAUAAGGGGCCAUUCCUUCCCUAUGAGCUAUAGAAAAAAGAGCACAUAGAAGAACCAAAGUGGAGGGAUUUAGAAGAUCCUUCUAGCAAGACUAACCCAGCAGACAGCCAUGGAGUUUCCCAGAGCCUGCUGGGAGCACUGUGACCAAAGGCAUACUUGGGGAACAGGGCUGGUGGAAGCUGUUGGGACAACUCUAUAGCACACGUGCUGGGGCACAGAUAGACAAGUGGAAAAUCGAAGAGGAAGGUUUUGAAGAGAGAAGAGGCAUCACCUGGGUUCUGAGUACAGAAAGAACAGCAGAGGGAGCCCCUGCAUGGCUUAAAUCGUUGGUCUUGAAGAAAAUGGAGCAAGCGCUUGCACAGGGUGCCAAAUCUCUGCCGCCCUCUCUUGAGCCUUUCGCUUGAAGCAGCAGUUGCAGAAGGCACUGACGAGAGCAGCCACCACCAAACACCCAAAUUUCUUAUAGCAACCAACUGAGGUUUACGGCACAGAUGCUGAUAGUGUCAUUCUGGAGUAGCCCACGUUGUGACUGUGGUGUGGGCUGGGCUUAUUGUGAGUGAGAGCAAAGUGCUCUUGUGGAACACCAGGAGAUUUCUUUAAUUACUCUUCUAUAUUUGAAUCUGUUGCAUAUUAAGUAGGCUUUCAUCAUAUGUGUGUGCAUGGCA
rnacentral:lncRNA from 1 species